GGGCCCGCACAAGCGGCGGAGCAUGCGGAUUAAUUCGAUGCAACGCGAAGAACCUUACCAAGGCUUGACAUAUAGAGGAAAAGUGCAGAAAUGCACUCCCCGCAAGGUCUCUAUACAGGUGGUGCAUGGUUGUCGUCAGCUCGUGUCGUGAGAUGUUGGGUUAAGUCCCGCAACGAGCGCAACCCUCGUCCUAUGUUGCCAGCACGUAAUGGUGGGAACUCAUGGGAUACUGCCGGGGUCAACUCGGAGGAAGGUGGGGAUGACGUCAAAUCAUCAUGCCCCUUAUGUCUUGGGCUUCACGCAUGCUACAAUGGCUAGGACAGACGGCCGCAAACCCGCGAGGGGAGCCAA
rnacentral:rRNA from 1 species